UGUGUGUGUGUGUGUGUGUGUGUGUGUGUGUGUGUGUAGGCAUAUGUGGUUUAUGAGACCAAUUUUCAGGUUUACAUACCAGCAUUACAAGACCAUUCGGUUUAUGAGACCAUUUUGUGUGGUCUCGUAAUUCUGGAAAUUUGAAUUGUUAUAAUUAAUGACUAAUAAUAAUUCUAAAAAUUAUUAAUGCUUGUAUGUUUACUAUAUUAAUACUUUUAUUAAGUAUUGUCGCUAUUUUACUGUUAUGACACUCCCUACCUUUUUUAUGACGUUUAUAAACAUGGUCCUCUUAAACCAUGAUGUGUCUGUGUGAACUCGGAACAGUGCCCCUGUAGGUGGGAAUUGGUAUUGCGUGGUAUACACAUUCGCGCCAUAUUACACACAUAUUCGCGCCAGAUUACACACAAAUUCGCGCCAAGUGCCAUUGACGGAACAGUCAAGGAGAUUUGCAGCAGAACAAACGCAGCAGCUGGAUCUGUGGGGAUAAAAUGAUUCGGAGUCAUCGGAGAAGAGGACCAAAUCCUCUGAAAGAUGCAGAAAUCCAUGAACAAAAGGGCAAGGACAAAGACAACAUAACCAGAAAAUAUAUUAAUCCCAUCAAAGCUCGUCCAUGAGCCUGUCGUUUCAGGAAGUGAAGUCACAUCUCCUAAAGAGCUCGUCCAUGAGCCUGUCGUUUCAGGAAGUGAAGUCACAUCUCCUAAAGAGCUUGUCCAUGAGCCUGUCGUUUCAGGAAGUGAAGUCACAUCUCCUAAAGAGCUCGUCCAUGAGCCUGUCGCUUCAGGAAGUGAAGUCACAUCUCUUAAAGAGGUAAUAAUGGUAAGAUCCCAGCAGGAAGCUAGAAGGCCAGGCAGUGGCAAUGAUGAGCCUUUGAAAAGGAGGAAACCAUGCCUGAAGUACCCAUCUGAAGGAACAAACACUUGUCAUAAAUGUCUCUCAAAACAAUGUCUCUGGCAGAGGAAAGGGUACGCUCAAAAAACCCUGGACAAAAGCUGAAGUGAGUGGUAAAUGGACUGCAUUUUAUAUAGCGCUUUUAACAGACCUAUGGCCAUCCAAAGCGCUUUACAAUUUGCCUCACAUUCACCCAUUCACUCUCUCAUUCAUACACCGACGGUGGUGUGAGCCAUGCAAGGGGCCAUCCAGCUCAUCAGGAGCAGCUGGGGUUAGAUGUCUUGCUCAAAGACACCUCGACACUUGAUCAGGUGGAGCCGGGGAUUAAACCACCAACCUUCCGGUUUGUGGACAACCUACAUGAACCACUGAGCCACUGCCGCCCCAGUGAACGCUGUAAUGUGACACUUCAGAUCUCACAUCAGCAAAGGUUACUUGGCGUCAGUGAGAGAAUGUGAGGUCUGUAAAAGAUGUGAGCAUCCAGUGCUACAAAAUAGGACAGAGCAAAAUCUCAGAGAGUUUGUUUGAAACCGAGGGCUUACCUUUAAGCGCAUGGAAAAGUGAGUCAAAAUGUUCAGAAUGUAAUGCUGUUGAUUUUAAAGUAACGUUUUGUAAUUGCCGUCAUUGAAGGAACACGGCAACAUUUUGGGAAUUUAGCUUAUUCACCGUAUUCCCCAGAGUUAAAUAAGUCCAUACAUAUUUUUCUGUGCCUGCUGUAAC